AUGGCUGGUUUUGCCUUGUGAUGGGCCUGUCUGCUUCCCCAUAGGUUUUUAUUUCUGCCUUUUCUUUCUUUAUUUCUGGAGAUCCUUGCCAGUCUUUGAGGGUUUUUGUAUUAAGUCCUGGUGUGAGGAGAAACCAAGGAAGGUGCCAGUGAACUUCUUCAGCAGAUGAGGUAGAGGAAAACCUCUGGUGUGUAGCAAGAUCAUCAUCAAUGAGGAGAUCAUGAUGGUGUGUUUAACACAGAGGCGGUGAUGGUUUUUGCCACAUCUGUUACAAGUAUGUCCUAUCCAGAGCUGAUGCAAAUAACCUGCAUUCUGGCAGUAUCCCAG